UACAGAGGUCCCAAGCGUUGUUCUGAUUCAUUGGGCGUAAAGGGUGCGUAGGCGGCGCGGUAAGUCGGGUGUGAAAUCUCGGAGCUUAACUCCGAAACUGCAUUCGAUACUGCCGUGCUUGAGGACUGGAGAGGAGACUGGAAUUUACGGUGUAGCGGUGAAAUGCGUAGAUAUCUGGAGGAACACCGGUGGCGAAGGCGGCAUCCUGGACCGGCAUUGACGCUGAGGCGCGAAAGCUGGGGGAGCGAACAGG
rnacentral:rRNA from 1 species